AUAUUCAGGAAUCAUUCGUUAUUUUUAAAUUUUCUACUGACCUGAAGCCCUUGCAACAAAUUGCUGAUAUGAAUCGAACUUUUGGUAUCCAAUACUCAGGUAGAGUAUCACAGACAAAGAAAUUACAAGGUGUUAUCGUAUAAGUAUCUUGUCUAGCAAUCUUUUGCUGAUUUCUCUUUCUAGGCCUGUUCGGAUCAAGAA
rnacentral:lncRNA from 1 species